rnacentral:rRNA from 1 species
GAUGAACGCUGGCGGCGUGCCUAAUACAUGCAAGUCGAGCGAAUGGAUUAAGAGCUUGCUCUUAUGAAGUUAGCGGCGGACGGGUGAGUAACACGUGGGUAACCUGCCCAUAAGACUGGGAUAACUCCGGGAAACCGGGGCUAAUACCGGAUAACAUUUUGAACCGCAUGGUUCGAAAUUGAAAGGCGGCUUCGGCUGUCACUUAUGGAUGGACCCGCGUCGCAUUAGCUAGUUGGUGAGGUAACGGCUCACCAAGGCAACGAUGCGUAGCCGCCCUGAGAGGGUGAUGGGCCCCACGGGGACUGAGACACGGCCCAGACUCCUCCGGGAGGCAGCAGUAGGAAAUCUUCCGAAAUGGACGAAAGUCUGACGGAGCAACGCCGCGUGAGUGAUGAAGGCUUUCGGGUCGUAAAACUCUGUUGUUGGGGAAGAACAAGUGCUAGUUGAAUAAGCUGGCACCUUGACGGUACCUAACCAGAAAGCCACGGCUAACUACGUGCCAGCCCCCGCGGUAA